CUCAUUGCCGACUAAGCCGAAAUGGUGAAGAAGGAAAUGGAUAUACCGCGGGAGACAGAGGUCAUCAAGAAAUGUAAUUGAAGGUGGCGCAGAUAUUGAAAUGACUUUGUAAGAGGGCGAUUAAACAUAAAUUUUUCUGCUUAGACUGCUGAUGUGAAGCAGUAAGCUGAAGCGGAACAUUUUAUAACGAUUAUUUUAUCGCUGCUUUCUACACCGCGAGAAUGAAAAUAAUCACGAAAAUUGUAUCAUGUUCAGCUCUUAGAUAACCAUCAGGUCCACUAUUCGGGGAUUCCCCGUCUAGGACUCUGAAGAUAUUUGCGUUUACAUUAAUCGAUGGCUAGCAUCUUGCGACUAGAGAAAUAGUUCUAAUAAUAAUAAAGGCUGAGACAAUUU